rnacentral:rRNA from 1 species
GACGAACGCUGGCGGCGCGCCUAACACAUGCAAGUCGAACGAGCGAGAGAGAGCUUGCUUUCUCGAGCGAGUGGCGAACGGGUGAGUAACGCGUGAGGAACCUGCCUCAAAGAGGGGGACAACAGUUGGAAACGACUGCUAAUACCGCAUAAGCCCACGGCUCGGCAUCGAGCAGAGGGAAAAGGAGCAAUCCGCUUUGAGAUGGCCUCGCGUCCGAUUAGCUAGUUGGUGAGGUAACGGCCCACCAAGGCGACGAUCGGUAGCCGGACUGAGAGGUUGAACGGCCACAUUGGGACUGAGACACGGCCCAGACUCCUACGGGAGGCAGCAGUGGGGAAUAUUGCACAAUGGGGGAAACCCUGAUGCAGCGACGCCGCGUGGAGGAAGAAGGUCUUCGGAUUGUAAACUCCUGUUGUUGGGGAAGAUAAUGACGGUACCCAACAAGGAAGUGACGGCUAACUACGUGCCAGCAGCCGCGGUAAAACGUAGGUCACAAGCGUUGUCCGGAAUUACUGGGUGUAAAGGGAGCGCAGGCGGGAAGACAAGUUGGAAGUGAAAUCUAUGGGCUCAACCCAUAAACUGCUUUCAAAACUGUUUUUCUUGAGUAGUGCAGAGGUAGGCGGAAUUCCCGGUGUAGCGGUGGAAUGCGUAGAUAUCGGGAGGAACACCAGUGGCGAAGGCGGCCUACUGGGCACCAACUGACGCUGAGGCUCGAAAGUGUGGGUAGCAAACA